rnacentral:rRNA from 1 species
CGCCUGUUUAUCAAAAACAUGUCUUUUAGAGUUUUAUUUAAAGUCUGACCUGCCCAUUGAUUUUUUAAAAGGCUGCGGUAUUUUGACCGUACAAAGGUAGCAUAAUCAUUAGUUUUUUAAUUGAAAACUUGUAUGAAUGGUUUAACGAAAUAUAGUCUGUUUCAUUAAAAUUAUUUAUAGAAAUUAAUAUUUUAGUAAAAAAGCUAAAAUAAAAUUAAAAGACGAGAAGACCCUAUAGAGUUUGAUAUUUUUUUUCCUAUAAUUUAUUUAUAAUAAUUAAAAUUUUAGUAUUAAAGUUAUUUUGUUGGGGUGACAAUAAAAUUUUAAAAUCUUUUAUUAUUAUUUAACAAUAAUUUUUGAUUUAUUGAUCCAUUUUUAAUGAUUAAAAGAUUUAAUUACCUUAGGGAUAACAGCGUAAUUUUUUUGUAGAGUUCAAAUCGAUAAAAAUUUUUGCGACCUCGAUGUUGGAUUAAGAUUAAUUUUUGGUGUAGAAGCUUAUAAAUUAGGUCUGUUCGACCUUUAAUUUCUUACGUGAUCUGAGUUCA